GCACGACCGGGCGGACCGUCCGAGCCGGAAGGGCGCAUCCUGGGGCUGGGAACGCGACGUCCGACGGAGGUGCCACGCCAAUUGUUGGGAAGACUGACCACUCCCCGCCUCCCCGCACCGUGGUUCCGGAGUGACCCUUCCACCGCGCCAGAGCAGGCUGGACUGGAGUCCGGGGCCAAGGCCCUGCACUGGCUGAGCCGAGGCCAGGCAGGGAAGAAAGAUCCCCGAGGUGCCCCUUUAACCCUAGGUUCCGCCUGCCCCGGGUCAUCUCCCUUAAUCCCCCUUCAGCACCCUUCACCCAACACCUCCACGCGUCCCUCCUGUCCCCUGCUGGCUGGCACCCCCACCGCUCCUCCUCCGAAGGGCCUGUUGCAAGGGGUCGCUCAGUCGUUUCCCAGACUCCUGCUCCCAGACUCACCAUCAGGAGGACAUCCUAGCCUCCCACGCCACGUCUGAAGCCAGCGUCUCAGCCCCUGUUCUAGGACCCCUUCUCUUCCUCACCUGCCACCUGUCCCCCCUUAACAGGCACACCCUAGCAGUCCUUGCUCAGCCCCCAGUGACCUCAGGGUCACCAAACCCUGUGGACACUUUGGGGCCUCAUCUUUCCCGGCCUUUCAAUUUCCCGGGACACACGUGGUCAAGCACUCCUUCUGGAAAGUUCUCUCAUGGCUAUGGCUUCCAGGCUGGCACCCCCACCACUUCCUCUCUUCAGAGAGUUCCCAGUGUUCCACCGCCACAUGCCCAGGGCCCCACCGGAUCCCUUUCCCCUGACCCGCUCCCACCUCCUGGACGCACUUCCCCUGCCCACCCACCUGCUAGACACCUGCCAGGGUUCCUGAGGUCUCCAGGGCAUCACCACAUGCUAAUUCACCCUGUCGCGUUUCUCUGGAAUCCAUCUGGGCCUCCUUUCCGCUGUCAACCACCAUCUGGGCCACCAUCACCUUGGGGUGCCCUUCCCAGCCCGCUGGGUCAGCUCUUUUGUUAGGUGCUGCCCUUUGUCUUGGGGGCCCUUCUCCCGACUCUGCUUCUACUUCAGGGGGACAUUGGGACCGGUAAUCCCCCGCCAUCCACAGCUCUCCCGCCCUCCAGCCCCAAGAGCAGAGCUGCAGCUGGCCCCAGGGCCCGCGAGAUGCCCCAGGCUGGAGGCAAAGGACAGAGGCAAAUGUCAGAGGCAAAGGUCAGAAGGUCUGGUGCUGCUUGCAAAGACUGUCCGUGCAGGUGCUGGGGGAGGGCAGCCUUCGAGGCUGGUGCCCAAAGACCCCCAUUCCCCCUCUUCUCCCCUCCCCUGCCCCCCUCCUCCAGCUCUCCCCCCACCUCUCUGGGAGAGAGGCAGCACCCAUCUGGGUAGGUGCCUGCGACUCUCCCCGUGGCUGUGAUCUUGGGCCACUCUGGCCUGUGAGGGGGGGACUGGGACUGCUCUGGGGGGCUGUGAGGAUCGGAGAGAUGCUCCUGGUUCUUCAUGCAGAUGGGGUGGAUCUGGGCAGUUGGGAGGGUCCUCCCGGCUGUGUCAUCUUCAGAAAGGCCCUUCCCUCUCUGGACCUUGUUUUCCUGAGGACGUUUGGGUUGGGUGGAGGCCCAGCAGUCUAGGGUAGGCACUGGGAGGCUGAGCUGGGUUCCAGGAUGGAAGAGGUGUGACAGGACACACAUGGAGUGUUUGAAAUGUGUGGAAAACAUACCUGAGAUGUGUGGACACAGUGGGGAGUGGAGGGGGAGGAACAGAUGGGGUGGGGGCCCCUCCCUGCGCUGGGCCCCCUCUGUGUACAUUAAGUGAAUUCAUAAGACGUAAACAGUGGGAAGUGGGACUGGAGGGGCUGGCCUCCUCACGGAGCACAGGACACCUGUGGACCGAAGAAGGGGCCGGUCCACCACCGAGUCCCCAGGGGUCCCGAUGGGGGCGGCACCCCCUGGAAGUGUGCCGGCCCCUGGGUCCAGGGCAGGCCCGGGUGAGGGGGCUGCCGUCUGCCUGCUUCUCCCCCAAGGUACGGGGGUGCUCUCUGCCUGUCUGUGCGGUGGGCUCCAGAGGGAGAACCAGCAGGGCUCAGUUUAGGCAUCUGAUCGAGUGUUGCGAGCUGGUACUGCCCAUGAGGCCCGGUGUCUGCCUGCCUGCCUGCCUGCCUGCUGCUCAAGUUCUGGUGGGAGAUGACAGGUGGCCGAGAAAGGAGUGGCCAGGCUGAGUGGCGCUGGGCAGAACCCCAGGGCAGAGGGACCCGGGGUUGGGGAGGGAGCGCCAGGGCCCAGAAACUGCGGGGCUGCAGGUAAGGAGGCUGGAGUGGCUGUUGGCAUCACAGGGCCUGUUUACUACGCGUUGGCAGUGUGUUGCUUUUGGUAGAGCUUUGCGUCCAGCUUUUCUCAGCACAGCUGGUGACAUAAGCAUUCAUUUCCCCAUCUUAAUAACAGGUCCUCUAAGCACCUUGGGCACUUGGUAUUGCUUUGGGUUUUUUUUUGGCAAAUUUUUCUUUUAAUUAAUAGACUUUUUUAGAGCAGUUUCAGGUUCACAGCAGAAUUGAGCAGAAAAUACAGAGAGCUGGGCACUGGGUCUACGAGGCUUUCCUCAACCGCUCACAGGCCACAGCAAUCAAAAAAGGGUGCAGCCAAAGGCCCAUGGCAUGGGCACCAAGCUGCAUCCUGGUGCCUCGCUCGGACAUAGGAGAGACCGAGAGCCAGCGGAAGAGCGGACACGGGAGGAAACAGCAAGUGGGGGCCAGGAGAAAGCUGCAGAGACGCUCUCACCACUGGGAUCGCCUCGGACAGGAAAAGACAAGGCACCCAUGAGACCCACUUCGGAAAGCAGGCGGAGAACAAGAAAGAGUCCUUCUGAGUCCAAAAUAUAGUAUCUGAAAAAAUUUAAACUUAAUAGAAGGGUUGGAAGAAUGAGCUGAGGAACUCUCACAGAAGAAAGAACAAACAUCUGAGAGACAGAAACCGGGGAAGAGAAGAUGAGAGAUGGUGGAGGGUCUCUGUGGAAGGUCUAGUGCUUGAGGGACAGAGGUUCCAGAAAGAGCCAGAGGACCAGUGUGAAGAAAUAGUACAGGGCUCUUCCUAGAACCUCCGUAGUGGAAGAGCUGCCAAGCUCCCAGCACAAUAAAAACUGCAAACCAAGGAACGGAUUCAAAAACCCCACGAUGUUGCAUCGUUGUGAAAUUUCAGUGUCAUCAGGAGAAGGAGAAGAUACUGGGGGUUUCUAGAAAGCAAACCUCGGUCUCCCGGAGAUGGGCAGGCACCAGAGGACUCGGCUUGCCUCCCACGAGGCCCAUCUUAAGAAGCUCCAGGGCUGAGCCUCCCAGCACAGAGCGGGGCGCCAUCCAGUCAAGAAGACAUUGGAUUUUGAAGGCUCAGCACAAAAACGGAACGGGAGGUAUCUCAUGAAUCACGUGUGCUGCUCCCAGCACAAAUCAGGACUUGCAUCCAUUCCUCCAGCGCACGUUCAUGAGCCCCCUCUUUGUGCCAGGUGCCGUCCUGGGCGCUGGGACGCGGAAGGCAGCGGACGCCUCAGUGGAGACCGAGGACCCCGCAGAGUUGCUGGAAAUUGAACCCAGGAUCUCCUGCAUGCUAAGCAUGUGCUCUGCCACUGAGCUACACCCUCCUCCUCUCUGGGUCUUUAGGUUUUUCUACAAAGAGGACUGUGCAGUCUGUGAGAAGGGACGUUCCUUCCUUUACGAGCUGUCUGCCUUUUACUCACUGUUCAGUGACUGAUCGUGUGGGUCGUGACCUGCAGGACAACGUUCAGAAGAAGCGGCAAGAGCUGAUACUCCUGCCUUAGUCCCAGUCUUUGCGGGAAGAGCAUCCCAUUUCCCACCAGUAAGUAUGACGUCAUCCACAGGGUUUUCAGAGAUGCUCUUAAUUGAUUUGAGAAUGUUUCUGUUCAUCCUCAGUUUGCUGGAGGGUCUUUUUUCAAUCACGAAUGGGUGUUGAGUUUUUUCGGAUGUCUUUUCUUUCUUAUGAGCUGAUCUUUGCGUUUGUCUCCCUUAGUCUGUUGCUGCGGCGGGUUAUGCUGGUUUUCAGUUGUUGUUCCAGCCUUGAAUUCCCAGAAUACGCUUCACUCGGUCAUGAAAUGUUAUCCUUUUUAUAUAUUUCUGGGUUCGAUUUGCUAAAAUUUUAUUAAGGAUUUUGGCAUCUGUGUUUAUCGAGGAUGUUAGUGUGUAAUUUUAUUUUCUGGUAAUAAGAAUAUUGUCUGGCCAUGGCUUCAGGAUGAUGCUGGCUCCAUCGAAUGAGCUGAAAUGACUCCUUCCUCUUCUAUUUCCUGGGAGUCUGUACGGAGCCGGUGUUACUGCCUCCUCAGAUGUUGGGAGAGGUCACUGGGCUGGGAGCUGUCUUUUUGUGGGAAGGCUUUUAACUGCAAAUUCAAUUUUUUUAAGAAACUUUUCUUUUUUUUUUUCCAUUGGAGGUACUGGGAGCUAACCCAGGACCUUGUGCUAAACACGCACCCUGCCACUGAGCUGCACGCCCCUGUGGAGUCAGUUUUCUAAGCAGACGCCGCGCAGGCUUCCUGCUGCCGCUGCCAUUCGGAGGCCUCGGGCC